GUCAGACCUUGCUCAGCAGGGCUCACAGUUCCUCAAUCCUUGAUCUUCCUGUCAUCAUACACCACUUCUGAUGUCUCCUGCCUGCCUUUCCUCACUGUGAGUCGUCCGGGUAGAGAAGGAAAGCACUUUUGCCUGAUUUCGCCAGACCUUCUGGAGGAUUCAGCUCAGCUGGAAGCUUUUCUUCAGUCUGAUGGAAACCCUGGCAAUUGGAUUCCUCUCCAAGGUUUUAUGUACUGAGGAGAAGCGGUGCAUGGUAAGAUUAACCUUGCUUGAUGACUGAGACCUGCUUUGGAAAAACAAGGCAAAUGUGCCCAGGCUCUGGAAGAGGGAGAAUUUGUCUUCUGACACACAUUUCUAUCUUCAGAAAUUCCUGACAAUCUACAGCCCUGUUAAGGCAUGAAAAAUAUGUCACUAGCGUUGACUCAAUACAGA